UUUAUCAGCAGCCUCCACCUCCGGGGAUCACCGCCGCCGCACACCUGAGCCCAACGCCCCGCCGCCAACUGCGCCGCUGCACGGAUGAAUCCAUCCUCGCUCCUUCGAAGCAGGCCUUACGCGCAAUCGCCACAAACGAUGCUUCCGCCGCCGCCAUCGCCUGCGCAGGCCGCGCGCUCCAUCUGCCGCCGCGGUCUCAGGCCGAUACAAGCCUUCUCCAGAAAUUUCUCCUGGCCUCCUGGGUCGGAACCGAGCUCACCCCCUCAGCCAGCUCCUACGCCGGUAACCUCUGGCCUCUACCUCCGCGAGCUCCUGGAGGUCUUAUGUUACGAGCGGGGCCGUAACCCUGCACCGAAGCAGCAGAGACGAAGCGGGCAAAUGGGCUUCCUGGCCACGCUGUCGUCUGCACGAGGUUGCUGUUCCAUCCGAGUGCAAGCCUUUAGGCGCCGGCAGCUGCAGUGAUUGAUAGCGGUGCUGGCAGCCUGGCACUGGGGACUUCGCCACGUACUUCGGGGUCAGGAGGAAGAGACCCGCGAUGUUCGUGUCCAAAGGUGGCUUGAACUUCCGGUCGAUCCAGGACGACGCUCUGGAUGGAAAGGUGGACGGCUGUUUGCGCUGAGAUGUGCCGUGGAGCCAAAUAUGCGAGGUGCAAUAGCAUAGUGGUGAUUGUGUUUACACGAAGUCGAAAUCGGCGGCAGAUGGGGUGUCCAUGGCUGAGCUCUCGAACGUUCUGAGGUUGAUUCGUCUCAGGGCCAUGGUUUUCAAUUUGUUGUUUUAUGCUCAUUUUGCAGAGAAAUUUUUCACCAUUUUGCAGAGUAUAUAACAAUCAUUAUUCUUGAAAUGCAUAGACAUAGCUUGUGCGUUUUUAUUGAUAAUUGCCUUCCUUUACCUGCCAGUGAGCAGAAAUUACUUAAACUCUUAUUACAAGUGCGAUAUGUUUCUCUUGUAGCGUCUAAGUAUGGUAUGCAUGAGCAAAAACUUUAUCAUUGAAGUUGGUAGCUAGCUUAGCGUGGAGUAAGUUGCUGCCUUUGCUGGCUAUUUAUACUUGUACACAUGGUGAAGAAGUGAACAAGAGAAAAGGUACAAGUUUGUGUGGUGCUGCAAAGCCUCUGCGAACACAUUGUGUUCUUGUGUUUUAAUCUCCUGGGCAAAGCUAUCAGGCAUUUCUUACCCAUUAGAUGAUCCAUAAUUAAGUUCCUCCAUUGAUCUCUGUGUGAACCCAAUGUAUACGAGUUUAUUUUUUACUCUGUGCCGCCAAAUGUACUCAUGUCCUCUACAACAAGCGUGCCUCUCAGGUAUUCCAUGGCACAUAUUUAGGUCUUAACUGAUUCUGCUUGCUGGUUACUUAAGCUUAAAAUGUUGAUCUAGAUCAGGCAUAUCCAAGAUCAAUGCUGAAUAUCCAUCCUACACUCCUCCCGGCCUUUAAAAGAAAGGGCCAUUAUGGUUUCUAGUUGUAUAUAGUGGCCAUUGCAUCUGGAGCCACUACUUCACAUUGUGUCUACCACCUGCAAGUAACCAACAUCCAGGAAAAUGGCCUCUUGCAAUUUUCUCUUGUUGGUACUUGGUAUGAUGCAUACGUUUGGAAAAAACAAACCUCUGGAGGAUAAGCAUUAUUAUUUGCAACUUGCAACGUGUUUGAUUGGGGCUGGGUCUGACUACUAAAGUUCUUUAUCUUCCAGAAUAAUUAUUUUUUUAAUUUCACUAUAUGUCCCAAUCACUUUGUCGAUGAGCAGUACGACACAUGAAGAACUUUAGAUAAGAGGGAUGUGCAAGUGUUAGCCAAGGGUUCUUCAUGAGGUGCUGCCAUGUGCGAGGACUGGCUCCUGUGGCGGAAAGAUGGUGUCCCAACCAUCAGAAUUUUGAUGAACCCCGGAGGUUGACUUGGAUGUCACACCCGAGCGCUACUAAGUUGUUCUGGUCAACCACUAGAAAGUACGGCCCGCCGUGGUAUCCCGGGCCGGCGGCAUGCCAUUUGCCGUUCGCGCGUUUUUCGGUGUCCAGCUCGAACUGGAGUUUGGUGCUGUUGAUGCGCACCUUAGAGUUGGGGAUGGAGAUGUCGAGCACCUGCACGGUGCCGUCGCCCAGGAAGAGCUUGGGCGGACCGUACGAGUUGUUGCAGGUGAGGUUGAAACCAUGGAGGUAGCAGCCGGGCUCCACGCCGAACGGGUAAGGGAUGCUGAUGCUGCCGCAGCUGGUCGUGCAUCCCUCGCCAUGGCUGGCGCCGGACGAUGGGAGCAACGGCAUGAGCACCGUAACGGCAACAGCAGCGACUACCAUAGCUCGAGCUCUGCUGGCAACCCUCUCCAUGUCCACGCUCCACGCUAUGCUAAUUCUUCAAAAUCAACAGAUCGUCACCGGUCCACCAGGAGUGUAUUAUAGUCUUGCUCCCUUUGUUGUCUAGGACAGAACAACACGAGAGCUCUCGACCGAAAGGUCAAAACGUGUGUUUUGUAAAGAAAGGUCAAAACGUGUGCUCUGAUCCUAAAUUCUUGACUCAAAUUUGUCCAAAUAUGGAUGUAUCUAUUUUUAAGAGCGUCUAGAUACAUGUAAUAUUUCGACAACAAUUUAGAAUCAGAGGAAUACAAGUAGUGUUCGACCGUUAACUCAUGGUUGGAACAAGUUGCCUCUAUUGAAAA